rnacentral:rRNA from 1 species
AUGGAUCUGCUGGAGAGGAGCGCAGCCACUAUUAAGGCGGAGCAGCAGGGGGAGGCCCAGCGCAAGGAAGCCGAGAGGAAAGAGCAGGAGCAGGAGCAGCAAGGCCAAGGGCUCACCGGCAGACACCCGCUCGCCAACGGCAGGUCUGGAAUGUUGCCAAUGUCGAGCCCUCCAGCAAAUCCGGGACAGCUCACCAUUUUUUAUGGUGGGUCAGUAUGUGUGUAUGACUCAGUGCCACCAGAGAAGGCUCAAGCAAUCAUGCUCAUUGCAGCAGCAGCUGCUGCGGCCUCAAAAAGCAAUGGCACCGCUGCUGUUAAGCCUCCAGCGAUGUCUGCGACCAAUGCGAUCCAAGCCAUGCUUACGCGGUCGCUCUCACUCCAGAGCACUUCUGUAGCAAAUGGACAACCUCAGGCUGUUGCGGAUCCGGGCUCGAUUUGCAAGCUUCAGGCUGAUCUUCCCAUCGCCAGGAGACACUCCCUUCAGCGCUUCCUGGAGAAGCGCCGUGACAGGGUGGUGAGCAAAGCUCCUUACGGCGCCGGGAAGCCAUCCGAAGGCAUGGGAGCAUCUUCUGGGAUGGAAGCGGUCGCGGAGGGCAAGGCCCAGUAA